rnacentral:siRNA from 1 species
GCCUUGGUGCUGAGUACUCCU